CAAUUUACGUCACAGAUUGUUUAAUACCUUCUUCACAUAUGUGACACAAAUAACCCAGAUCCUCUAAUUUUACCACAGAUUAUUAAAUGCCCCAGACACACACAGAUCGGAGGUAUUACUUUGAAAAAAAUUAU